rnacentral:rRNA from 1 species
GAUGAACGCUGGCUACAGGCUUAACACAUGCAAGUCGAGGGGAAACGACGGGGAAGCUUGCUUCCCCGGGCGUCGACCGGCGCACGGGUGAGUAACGCGUAUCCAACCUGCCUCUGACUGAGGGAUAACCCGUCGAAAGUCGGCCUAAUACCUCAUGGUAUCGUCUGCGGGCAUCCAACGACGAUUAAAGAUUUCAUCGGUCAGGGAUGGGGAUGCGUCUGAUUAGCUUGUUGGCGGGGUAACGGCCCACCAAGGCUACGAUCAGUAGGGGUUCUGAGAGGAAGGUCCCCCACAUUGGAACUGAGACACGAGCCAAACUCCUACGGGAGGCAGCAGUGAGGAAUAUUGGUCAAUGGGCGAGAGCCUGAACCAGCCAAGUGGCGUGCAGGAAGACGGCCCUAUGGGUUGUAAACUGCUUUUAUGCGGGGAUAAAGUGAGGGACGUGUCCCUCAUUGCAGGUACCGCAUGAAUAAGGACCGGCUAAUUCCGUG